UACGGGGGGGGCAAGCGUUGUUCGGAAUUACUGGGCGUAAGGGCUCGUAGGCGGCCAACUAAGUCAGACGUGAAAUCCCUCGGCUUAACCGGGGAACUGCAUCUGAUACUGGAUGGCUUGAGUUCGGGAGAGGGAUGCGGAAUUCCGGGUGUAGCGGUGAAAUGCGUAGAUAUCUGGAGGAACACCGGUGGCGAAGGCGGCAUCCUGGACCGACACUGACGCUGAGGAGCGAAAGCCAGGGGAGCAAACGGG
rnacentral:rRNA from 1 species